AUGGAGAUCCGGCAGCAUGAGUGGCUCUCGGCCUCCCCCCACGAGGGCUUCGAGCAGAUGAGGCUGAAAAGCCGCCCCAAGGAGCCCUCGCCGAGCCUGACCCGAGUGGGCGCGAACUUCUACAGCAGCGUCAAGCAGCAGGACUACAGCGCCAGCGUCUGGCUCCGGAGGAAAGACAAGCUGGAGCACUCCCAGCAGAAGUGCAUCGUGAUCUUUGCGCUGGUGUGCUGCUUUGCCAUUCUCGUUGCAUUGAUAUUUUCAGCUGUGGAUAUCAUGGGAGAGGAUGAAGAUGGACUGUCAGAAAAAAAUUGUCAAAAUAAAUGUCGAAUUGCCCUGGUGGAAAAUAUUCCUGAAGGCCUUAACUAUUCAGAAAAUGCACCAUUUCACUUAUCACUUUUCCAAGGCUGGAUGAAUUUACUCAGCAUGGCCAAAAAGUCUGUUGACAUAGUAUCUUCCCAUUGGGAUCUCAACCACAGUCAUCCAUCAGCAUGUCAGGGUCAACGUCUUUUCGAAAAGUUGCUCCAACUGACUUCUCAAAGUAUUGAAAUCAAGCUAGUGAGUGAUGUAACAGCUGAUUCAAAGGUAUUAGAAGCCUUGAAAUCAAAGGGAGCUGAGGUGACCUACAUGAACAUGACUGCCUACAACAAGGGCCGACUGCAGUCCUCCUUCUGGAUCGUGGACAAACAGCAUGUGUACAUCGGCAGUGCCGGUUUGGACUGGCGGUCUCUGGGACAGAUGAAAGAACUCGGUGUCAUCUUCUACAACUGCAGCUGCCUGGUCCUAGAUUUACAAAGGAUAUUCGCUUUAUAUAGUUCAUUAAAAUUCAAGAGCAGAGUACCUCAGACCUGGUCCAAGAGACUUUAUGGAGUCUAUGACAAUGAAAAGAAAUUGCAGCUUCAGUUGAACGAAACCAAAUCUCAAGCAUUUGUGUCGAAUUCUCCCAAACUCUUUUGCCCUAAAAACAGAAGCUUUGACAUAGACGCCAUCUACAGUGUAAUAGAUGAUGCCAAGCAAUACGUGUACAUCGCAGUCAUGGACUACCUGCCUAUCUCCAGCACAAGCACCAAAAGGACUUACUGGCCAGACUUGGACGGGAAAAUCAGAGAAGCAUUAGUUCUGCGGAGCGUCAAAGUUCGACUCCUUAUAAGCUUCUGGAAGGAAACUGACCCCCUCACAUUUAACUUUAUUUCAUCUCUUAAAGCUAUUUGCACUGAAAUAGCCAACUGCAGUUUGAAAGUUAAAUUCUUUGAUCUGGAAAGAGAGAAUGCUUGCAUUAGAAAAGAACAAAGGAACCACACCUUCCCUAGAUUAAACCGCAACAAGUACAUGGUGACGGACGGCGCAGCUUAUAUUGGAAAUUUUGACUGGGUGGGGAAUGACUUCACCCAGAAUGCUGGCACAGGCCUUGUUAUCAACCAAGCAGAUGUGAGGAACAACACAAGCAUCAUUAAGCAACUCAAGGAUGUGUUUGAGAGGGACUGGUACUCGCCCUAUGCCAGAACCUUGCAGCCCACCAAGCAACCCAACUGCUCAAGCCUCUUCAGACUCAGACUCCCCUCAAACAAAACUGCCAUGUACAACGCAAGUGGGAAGGACCCCUAGAGUGUGUAG
rnacentral:misc_RNA from 1 species